rnacentral:rRNA from 1 species
UACGCAGGGGGCUAGCGUUGCUCGGAAUCACUGGGCGUAAAGGGUGCGUAGGCGGGUCUUUAAGUCAGGGGUGAAAUCCUGGAGCUCAACUCCAGAACUGCCUUUGAUACUGAAGAUCUUGAGUUCGGGAGAGGUGAGUGGAACUGCGAGUGUAGAGGUGAAAUUCGUAGAUAUUCGCAAGAACACCAGUGGCGAAGGCGGCUCACUGGCCCGGUACUGACACUGAGGUGCGAAAGCGUGGGGAGCAAACAGG